GACGAACGCUGGCGGCGUGCUUAACACAUGCAAGUCGAACGGAAAGGCCCUGCUUUUGUGGGGUGCUCGAGCGGCGAACGGGUGAGUAACACGCGAGUAACCUGCCCUUGACUUUGGGAUAACUUCAGGAAACUGGGGCUAAUACCGGAUAGGAGCUCCUGCUGCAUGGUGGGGGUUGGAAAGUUUCGGCGGUUGGGGAUGGACUCGCGGCUUAUCAGCUUGUUGGUGGGGUAGUGGCUUACCAAGGCUUUGACGGGUAGCCGGCCUGAGAGGGUGACCGGCCACAUUGGGACUGAGAUACGGCCCAGACUCCUACGGGAGGCAGCAGUGGGGAAUAUUACACAAUGGGCGGAAGCCUGAUGCAGCAACGCCGCGUGCGGGAUGACGGCCUUCGGGUUGUAAACCGCUUUCGCCUGUGACGAAGCGUGAGUGACGGUAAUGGGUAAAGAAGCACCGGCUAACUACGUG
rnacentral:rRNA from 1 species